CCUACGGGGUGCAGCAGUCGAGAAUCAUUCACAAUGGGGGAAACCCUGAUGGUGCGACGCCGCGUGGGGGAAUGAAGGUCUUCGGAUUGUAAACCCCUGUCAUGUGGGAGCAAAUUAAAAAGAUCGUACCACACGAGGAAGAGACGGCUUACUCUGUGCCAGCAGCCGCGGUAAUACAGAGGUCUCAAGCGUUGUUCGGAAUCACUGGGCGUAAAGCGUGCGUAGGCUGUUUCGUAAGUCGUGUGUGAAAGGCGCGGGCUCAACCCGCGGACGGCACAUGAUACUGCGAGACUAGAGUAAUGGAGGGGGAACCGGAAUUCUCGGUGUAGCAGUGAAAUGCGUAGAUAUCGAGAGGAACACUCGUGGCGAAGGCGGGUUCCUGGACAUUAACUGACGCUGAGGCACGAAGGCCAGGGGAGCGAAAGGGAUUAGAUACCCCUGUAGUC
rnacentral:rRNA from 1 species